rnacentral:ncRNA from 2 species
AAACACUUGUCGGGGUGCCCGCCCGGAAUAAUCCGGAAAGGCUGAGAUGAAACCCGUUGAACCUGAAGAGGCUAGAACCUCCGUAGGAAACAAGCAGGACACCUGU